CCCUGCCUUAAGGUAACGGUCACCAGUAACAGCAGCUGGUAAUUUCCUAUUUCAAAUGGUGAGAUUUGGCAAACAGUUGAUAAAACAUCCAGUACUUGGUAAGACUGACGGCCAUUUUAGUUAAAAAUGACUGGUUGGUAAAAGUUAGCAAUAACAUUGGAAAUGAGCCUCUAAUUGUUAUAAUUAAGAGGAAAAUGUGAAAAGCAACAAAAGCAGCUUUUAAUCAUUC